rnacentral:rRNA from 13 species
CGUGAGACAGGUUAGUUUUACCCUACUGAUGACCUUGCCCCAAUGGUAAUACCGCUUAGUACGAGAGGAACCGCGGUUUCAGAUAAUUGGUUUUUGCGGCUGUCUGACCAGGCAUUGCCGCGAAGCUACCAUCUGCUGGAUUAUGGCUGAACGCCUCUAAGUCAGAAUCCAUGCCAGAACGGGGUGAUUUCCGCCUGCACCAGUCGGAUACGAAUAGGCCUUUGGCCCAGAACCUUACCAGGCCGGCGUUGGCAGUCUCAUUGAAGUUGAGGCUGUUCGCCGGCGUAUUGCAAUUGUACAGUGCGCAGGAUUGAAUCCUUUGCAGACGACUUAGUUGUCUAGCCGGGUCGUGUAAGUAGU